AGGAUCAUUACAGUGACCCCGGUCUACCACCGGGAUGUUCAUAACCCUUUGUUGUCCGACUCUGUUGCCUCCGGGGCGACCCUGCCUUCGGGCGGGGGCUCCGGGUGGACACUUCAAACUCUUGCGUAACUUUGCAGUCUGAGUAAACUUAAUUAAUAAAUUAAAACUUUUAACAACGGAUCUCUAGGUUCUGGCAUCGAUGAAGAACGCAGCGAAAUGCGAUAAGUAAUGUGAAUUGCAGAAUUCAGUGCAUCAUCGAAUCUUUGAACGCACAUUGCGCCCCCUGGUAUUCCGGGGGGCAUGCCUGUACGAGCGUAAUCUCACCACUCAAGCCUCGCUUGGUAUUGGGCAACGCGGUCCGCCGCGUGCCUCAAAUCGACCGGCUGGGUCUUCUGUCCCCUAAGCGUUGUGGAAACUAUUCGCUAAAGGGUGCUCGGGAGGCUACGCCGUAAAACAAACCCAUUUCUAAGGUUGACCUCGGAUCAGGUAGGGAUACCCGCUGAACUUAAGCAUAUCAAUACACGGAGGAAAAGAAACCAACAGGGAUUGCUCUAGUAACGGCGAGUGAAGCAGCAAUCGCUCAACUUUGAAAUCUGGCGUCUUCGACGUCCGAGUUGUAAUUUGUAGAGGAUGCUUCUGAGUAACCACCGACCUAAGUUCCUUGGAACAGGACGUCAUAGAGGGUGAGAAUCCCGUAUGCGGUCGGAAAGGUGCUCUAUACGUAGCUCCUUCGACGAGUCGAGUUGUUUGGGAAUGCAGCUCUAAAUGGG
rnacentral:rRNA from 1 species